CCUACGGGGUGCAGCAGUGGGGGAUAUUGCACAAUGGGGGGAACCCUGAUGCAGCGACGCCGCGUGGGUGAAGAAGCGCCUCGGCGCGUAAAGCCCUGUCAGCAGGGAAGAAAAUGACGGUACCUGAAGAAGUAGCCACGGCCAAAUACGUGUCAGAAGCCGAGGUAAUACGUAGGGGGCAAGCGUUAUCCGGAUUAUCUGGGGGUAAAGGGGGCGCAGACGGCGAUGCAAGCCAGGAGUUAAAGCCCGGGGCCCAACCCCGGGACUGCUCUGGGAACUGCGUGGCUGGAGUGCAGGAGGGGCAGGCGGAAUUCCAGGUGUAGCGGUGAAAUGCGUAGAUAUCAGGAGGAACACCGGUGGCGAAGGCGGCCUGCUGGACUGCAACUGACGUUGAGGCCCGAAAGCGUGGGGAGCAAACAGGAUUAGAUACCCCAGUAGUC
rnacentral:rRNA from 1 species